ACAUAUAUAGUAAUAGUAACAGUCUGCAUCGCCGCCCUCAUUGGAUUAGUGUUCGUGUUGAAUGAAUUAUGCGGUUGUAAUGAUAAAUCAAAAAGAAGAGAACACCGGAGGAACAUAAUGAUGUCACCUAUAAAUAAUAUUGACCAACGGUAACAAAAGUGACGAAACAGGACUGACAGAGAAGAAAACGAUUGUUGAUUUAAGAUUUACAGUAAAGGAGAACGAAUUAUUUUAUAUUGUUAUGUUGUGUUGUGUUGUAUUUUUUGUUUUUCUUUAAGGGAGAGGAAUGCUGGUGAAAAAAGGCCGGCCAUAAAAAAAAUCUUGUACUUUUGUAGACUCGGAACAAAUAAGUGCUUGUCAAAUUGUAUAGACACUUGUUUAUUGUUUAUUAUUUUUAUUAAUUUUACGAUGUUGUCAUAUAAAAGUAUGCAACAAUAA